UAGGAUCGUCACUUCUUCAGCUUAAAGUCACCUCCACAAGGUGAGAAACUUGAUCAUUUUAAGGAAACCCAUCUCUCUCCUGCCCAUCACUAAUGCUAGUUCUCUAGGUAACACUUUUCACUCACUACUUGAUGUCUUCCUUGUUUGUUUCUUUUGGUUAUCCUCCUGGAAUUUAAGCUUCAGAGACUUUAUGUCAUUUUCCUUUGCUGAAUAUCCAGCAUCUAGAGGAGAACCAUCUCUCAUCAAAUCUAACAUGACAUCAAGUAUAAGAUACAGCAUCAUUUUAUGUAUGGAAAAAAAAAUGCCGCUGUUGAAGCUGUGAGACAAUGCCUUCUUGUCACUUUCGGCUUUUGAUUUUAAUACACUGAAGAACUCUUUAGGUUUAUUUAGAAAGACCUUAAAUUUGUACAUCUUAUGGUACAUUUGAAAAAUGAGAACCUGAGCAAAAAUAAAUAGGUUAAGCUGUUCCUGAAACAACUUCUCACUCAAGACUCCAAAUUUCCAGUAUCAAUUUUCAAUAAAAAAGUUACCAAUACACACAAUUUUCCACCAAAUAUCAUUCUUUGUAUCACCAAGAGCAUUGGUAAAGUGGCAUUUCUUGAAAGAUUGCGCCAUUAUUAUCUUUGUGCCAUUUUCUUCCCAGAUGGUGACAUUCACUCUGCAAAUCUUAAGACUCACCAAGAUUUCAGAGAUGUCAGAAUGUGAAAAAUUAUACAGCCACAAAUUCCAGUAAUAGGGUCAUAGAUAAUCAAUACACAAAUGACUUUUGAAUACUUGAAGAAAUGACUGUUGUCAACUCUCUGUCCUUGGGCAAGCCAGUUUAUUCUUUGAGUCUUAUUUUUUCUCAUUUUGAAAAUUAAGGUGUUUUAGAUUAGAAGCACUCAAAUGUAUUAUUAUUUUUUUGCUAAAAAACUAAGUGCUUUUUAAGAGGCUAGAGUGUAUAAAUAUAAGACAAUAUAGUUUUGGUGUUCUAUUAAAAAAAUACUCCGUCUGGAGUUUCUGUCAUGGUUCAGCGGUUAACAAAUCUGACUAGCAUCCAUGAGGACGCAGGUUCGAUCCCUGGGCUUGCUCAGUGGGUUAGGGAUCUGGCGUUGCCAUGAGCUGUGGUAUAGGUAGCUGUGGCUGUGGUAUAGGCCAGCAGCUACAUCUCCAAUUAGACCCCUAGCCUGGGACUCUCCAUAUGCCGUGGGUGUGGCCCUAAAAAAAAAAAAAAAUACUCUGUCCAACCUGGUCUUCAAGGGUUCAAGCUUUCAGGUCAAAUGGUAAGAAUCCCACCCAGCUGUUCUUUCAUAUAAUUGAUGGGAGGUGCAAGAGCUCAGCUCAGGAAGUAUGAGUUUUGUGGAAUGUGGUGAUUCUUGGCACACUUAGCUGGCCCCUUUCUCUAUCUGCAUGGUUGUAGCUGGUGAAUAUACAGCACACAGGAACAUGGCCAUCAGAGAGAGAAAAACUGAUCAAUCCAAGGAUGUACAGACAGAAAGAAAUAUAUGCUUGGCCUCUAUAUGGCUCAGUUCCAGGAUGUAAGGAAUGGAUGACAUCUCGACCCUUUACUAAUGUUAGAAAGUAUUUGGAAGGGCCAGACAGAGACAAGAACUCAGGUGGUAGCCAUGGUAAGAGAACUAUCUGGCCUGAUUGCAGCUGACUCUAUGGGCAGAAGUUAAAAAAAAAAAAUCUUGGUUGUCAAGUUUUAUCUUGGUUCUGUCUGUACACACUCCUUGGGAUCCUAUAUCUCCAGAUGUGGCUGAAGGGCCACUUUGUGAAUAAGGAAUUGCUCCUUUAUAAGCCUGAAGUCAAAAUCUACAGAUGUGGAGAGCAACUCCAUGAACCACCAGAUAACCCGUGUAUGUAUGCACACCACCCAGCUAAAAAUGUCUACAGGGGCUGUCCAACAUGGCCACCUAUACCAAUUAAUCUCUAUGGCCUUGAACUUGCUAUACCCCUAGCUAUGUUUCGGGAGGGACUCUCUUAGACACAGUGACCUCCUGCAGAUCAGUGAAAGGAUGGAAACUAGAAUAAGGGGAACUGGGCUGGUUUCUCCUUUGUUUUUUCUAUUACUGAAAAUAUAUGAUUAUUGUAAUUAAUUGUUUCCCCCCUCUUUCUCUAGGGUAUGAGAUAUUUCCAGAGAAUUGAGGAAGAACAAUGGAGUACAUUAUUAACUAAAAUGGUCACAUUCCUUAAAAAAAAAAAUCCUGGAGCAGAUAAUUUAUCAUAGUUCGAUGCCUCAGGAAAUAUUCCAUUUUGGUUAUAUGACACAGAGAGAGGCUGUCUUUGCCACACAGACCCCUUUGUACACUUGGCAGGAUGCUAACGCCUCCCCCAGCUGUGGGAAUCUUUCCCUCCCAGCAUAAUUUGAAAUUCUACUUCCAGGUCAGAAUCAAAGGAGGAUAAAAAAGAAGUGCAUUUCAAUAUUUAAAGACCAUUUCAGGGAUACUUAUAAUAUCCUGCCAGUUAUGAAUUCAUUAAAUUUAUUAAAAAUUGCUAAUUACCUUGCCAAAAUUUUUGUUAAUAUUAUAAUCAAAAGUAUUUAGUGACGGAUAUUUCUGCAGCCACUGAAAAUGCCAAGUAAUUAUACACAGAAUAUAUUUUCUUCUUUGAAACUGCAAAGCCCCAGAGGUUCAGACUAAUGGCCAUGCUCUUUCAGAUACAUUAUUCAUUAUAUACUAGCUUUCAAGAAUCCUACAUUAUGGAAAACUAAUUACCUGCCACAUUUUAAACCACAUGUAUGCUAAGUUAUAUUGUGAGCAUUUUCAACAAUCUUUCACUCCUGGUCAACUAUUUUUAUUUAUUUUUUAAUAAUAAAGGCAUUGAACAUUUUUUGGUAAAGCUUAUAAAAUAAGAAAAAUUGAAAUUCCUAUUGUGGCUCAGUGGGUUAAGAACCCGACUAGUAUUCAUGAGGAUGAGGGUUCGAUCCCUGGCCUCACUCAGUGGGUUAAGGAUCCCGUGUUGCCAUGAGCUGUGGUGUAGGUCACAGACCUGGCUUGGAUCCGGAGUUGCAAUGGCUGUGGCGUAGGCUGCCAGCUGUAGCUCUGAUUCGACCCCUAGCCUGGGAACUUCCAUAUGCUGCAGGUGCAGCUGU
rnacentral:lncRNA from 1 species